GAUGAACGCUAGCGACAGGCUUAACACAUGCAAGUCGAGGGGCAGCAGGGGAGUAGCAAUACUCCCGCUGGCGACCGGCGCACGGGUGAGUAACACGUAUGCAACCUGCCCUUGUCAGGGGGAUAAGCGGAAGAAAUUCCGUCUAAUACCGCAUAAUGCUGCGGGGAGACAUCUCCCUGCAGCCAAAGAUUUAUCGGACAAGGAUGGGCAUGCGGCGCAUUAGCUUGUUGGCGGGGUAACGGCCCACCAAGGCGACGAUGCGUAGGGGUUCUGAGAGGAAGGUCCCCCACACUGGUACUGAGACACGGACCAGACUCCUACGGGAGGCAGCAGUGAGGAAUAUUGGUCAAUGGCCGGGAGGCUGAACCAGCCAAGUCGCGUGAGGGAAGACGGUCCUAUGGAUUGUAAACCUCUUUUGUCAGGGAGCAAAAACUGCCACGUGUGGCAGGAUGAGAGUACCUGAAGAAAAAGCAUCGGCUAACCCCGUGCCAGCAGCCGCGGUAAUACGGAGGAUGCGAGCGUUAUCCGGAUUUAUUGGGUUUAAAGGGUGCGUAGGCGGACAGUUAAGUCAGCGGUAAAAUUGAGAGGCUCAACCUCUUCCCGCCGUUGAAACUGAUUGUCUUGAGUGGGCGAGAAGUAUGCGGAAUGCGUGGUGUAGCGGUGAAAUGCAUAGAUAUCACGCAGAACUCCGAUUGCGAAGGCAGCAUACCGGCGCCCAACUGACGCUGAAGCACGAAAGCGUGGGUAUCGAACAGGAUUAGAUACCCUGGUAGUCCACGCAGUAAACGAUGAAUACUAAUUGUUCGGGUCAAAUGAGAUCUGAGUGAUACAGCGAAAGCGUUAAGUAUUCCACCUGGGGAGUACGCCGGCAACGGUGAAACUCAAAGGAAUUGACGGGGGCCCGCACAAGCGGAGGAACAUGUGGUUUAAUUCGAUGAUACGCGAGGAACCUUACCCGGGCUCAAACGACACAGGAAUGAUCUGAGAAAUCAGGCAGUCCUCCGGGACCUGUGUCGAGGUGCUGCAUGGUUGUCGUCAGCUCGUGCCGUGAGGUGUCGGCUUAAGUGCCAUAACGAGCGCAACCCCCAUCGACAGUUGCCAGCAGGUCAAGCUGGGCACUCUGUCGAGACUGCCGGCGCAAGCUGUGAGGAAGGCGGGGAUGACGUCAAAUCAGCACGGCCCUUACGUCCGGGGCGACACACGUGUUACAAUGGCAGGUACAGCGGGAAGCCACCUGGCGACAGGGAGCGGAACCCGAAGGCCUGUCUCAGUUCGGAUUGGAGUCUGCAACUCGACUCCAUGAAGCUGGAUUCGCUAGUAAUCGCGCAUCAGCCACGGCGCGGUGAAUACGUUCCCGGGCCU
rnacentral:rRNA from 1 species